rnacentral:rRNA from 1 species
CGGCAGGCUUAACACAUGCAAGUCGAGCGGUAGCACAGGGGAGCUUGCUCCCUGGGUGACGAGCGGCGGACGGGUGAGUAAUGUCUGGGAAACUGCCUGAUGGAGGGGGAUAACUACUGGAAACGGUAGCUAAUACCGCAUAACGUCGCAAGACCAAAGAGGGGGACCUUCGGGCCUCUUGCCAUCAGAUGUGCCCAGAUGGGAUUAGCUAGUAGGUGGGGUAAUGGCUCACCUAGGCGACGAUCCCUAGCUGGUCUGAGAGGAUGACCAGCCACACUGGAACUGAGACACGGUCCAGACUCCUACGGGAGGCAGCAGUGGGGAAUAUUGCACAAUGGGCGCAAGCCUGAUGCAGCCAUGCCGCGUGUGUGAAGAAGGCCUUCGGGUUGUAAAGCACUUUCAGCGAGGAGGA